GACGUAGGGCGCGAGCGUUGUCCGGAUUUAUUGGGCGUAAAGAGCUCGUAGGCGGCUUGUCGCGUCGGCUGUGAAAACCCGCGGCUCAACUGUGGGCGGGCAGCUGAUACGGGCAGGCUGGAGUUCGGUAGGGGAGACUGGAAUUCCUGGUGUAGCGGUGAAAUGCGCAGAUAUCAGGAGGAACACCGGUGGCGAAGGCGGGUCUCUGGGACGGUACUGGACGCUGAGACGCGAAAGCGUGGGGAGCGAACAGG
rnacentral:rRNA from 1 species